UUCUCUCUCUUUCUCUCUCUUCACUUGGUCAGAGUCUCAGCUGGUCCAAUGUUUCUCUGCAGAAUUUGCGGGAGUUAAUAAAUACCAUCUUUGUAUUUUGCAACCUUUCAAGGAGCAAAUGAGUGUAUGGUGCGUCACCCUCAAAGCUGAGAGGAAAUAACAUAAAGAGGAAAAGAUUGAUCUUGGCAGAGUUUUGGAAGAAAGAAGAAAAGGGCAUCAAUCUUUAUCAGUUCUUGUUGAUCCAGGAGUUCGAAAAUCAAAUUAUUGAUGCACUGGUAGUUAUGCACACUUUCUAUGGUCUUGCAGAACUUGUGUGCACACUGGGAAGCUGUCGGGGAGUCUUUCUUUCCAAGACACCAAACUGUAGCUUUCACCUUUCUAUUUCAUAACAUUUUCUAGUCAGUUUUUGAUGAAAGAUCAAGCUAAAUCA